CCUACGGGCGGCUGCAGUGGGGAAUAUUGCACAAUGGGCGCAAGCCUGAUGCAGCCAUGCCGCGUGUGUGAAGAAGGCCUUCGGGUUGUAAAGCACUUACAGCGGGGAGGAAGGCGUUAAGGUUAAUAACCUUGGCGAUUGACGUUACCCGCAGAAGAAGCACCGGCUAACUCCGUGCCAGCAGCCGCGGUAAUACGGAGGGUGCAAGCGUUAAUCGGAAUUACUGGGCGUAAAGCGCACGCAGGCGGUCUGUCAAGUCGGAUGUGAAAUCCCCGGGCUCAACCUGGGAACUGCAUUCGAAACUGGCAGGCUAGAGGCUUGUAGAGGGGGGUAGAAUUCCAGGUGUAGCGGUGAAAUGCGUAGAGAUCUGGAGGAAUACCGGUGGCGAAGGCGGCCCCCUGGACAAAGACUGACGCUCAGGUGCGAAAGCGUGGGGAGCAAACAGGAUUAGAUACCCGGGUAGUC
rnacentral:rRNA from 1 species